rnacentral:rRNA from 1 species
UACAGGGGGUGCAAACGUUGCUCGGAAUUAUUGGGCGUAAAGCGCGCGUAGGCGGCUACUUAAGUCGGAUGUGAAAGCCCUUGGCUCAACUGAGGAAGUGCACCCGAAACUGAGUGGCUUGAGUACGAAAGAGGGUCGCGGAAUUCCCGGUGUAGAGGUGAAAUUCGUAGAUAUCGGGAGGAACACCGGUGGCGAAGGCGGCGUUCUGGACUGCAACUGACACUGAGAAACGAAAGCCAGGGGAGCAAACGGG